rnacentral:lncRNA from 1 species
GUUGGGAUGCUCCCAGGCUACAAAUAGCCGCCCCCCACAACCACUAGCUGGUUGGUUGCUCAAUUAGAAACUGACACUUGUCAUAAGAGCAACCCAAAUUCCUCAGAGCCUUCGAGAGUAAAUCAUCAAUGAGGAAAUACACCACCCACCGAAACCACAAACCAAACCUAGUGAUUGAGCAUCACUGAAGAAGUUGUUCCUGUGUGGGACUGGAGCCUUUUACCUUUGAGGACUGUGCAUCCUCCAGACGGUUAGGUGUCAUGGUCUAGAGCAAUCCAGCAGUCAAUUGUGGAUCGCCGGGUGACCAAGUUUGUGAGGGUUUGGAAGUCUGCCCUGAAGACUUACCACGAGUGUUGGGCGAGGACUGUGUGUCCUUAGCUCAAGGAGUAUAUGGUAGGGACUGUGUGUCCCGGGACUGGGUGUCCUUUGGUUUCAAUACCAAGCCGCUCCAAACCAGAUGUACAACUGUCACAGUAGUUGGAACUGAGUCAUCAACAACUGUCUUCACCGAGAAACGGGUUCUAAUUUCUCAACUCUUUACUUUCCUUAUAUUGUGUGUUGAUGACUUUCACUGUGACUGUUUGAAGAAUUUGCUAAAGACUUUCUCUGAAUUUCCUCAACCCCAAAUUCUUCACGUUAGUCAUUUCUCAUCUGUAUUCUGCGUGCCUGCUCACUUUGCAAUCUGUUUUCACAUUCUUCACUCUGAAAAACUGCUGUUGUGAAACUUUGCACUUCUGAUCCUUUACUAUUUCCGCUGUAAGUUAGUCAUCAGUGAGGAAUUUCCUCAAAAGGAAUUUCCUCAAUGAUGAAAUUCUAAAAAUCUCCUAUUCACCCCCCCUCUAGUCAAUAUAACGCACUUUCAUUGCUGCAACCUCACCACCU